CACGUAGGACCCAAGCGUUAUCCGGAGUGACUGGGCGUAAAGAGUUGCGUAGGUGGUUAGUAAAGUGAAUAGUGAAAUCUGGCGGCUCAACCGUACAGGCUAUUAUUCAAACUCACUAACUCGAGAAUGGUAGAGGUAACUGGAAUUUCUAGUGUAGGAGUGAAAUCCGUAGAUAUUAGAAGGAACACCAAUGGCGUAGGCAGGUUACUGGACCAUUUCUGACACUGAGGCACGAAAGCGUGGGGAGCGAACCGG
rnacentral:rRNA from 1 species